rnacentral:rRNA from 1 species
AGUGAACGCUGGCGGUAGGCCUAACACAUGCAAGUCGAACGGCAGCACAGUAAGAGCUUGCUCUUACGGUUGGCGAGUGGCGGACGGGUGAGGAAUACAUCGGAAUCUACUUUUUCGUGGGGGAUAACGUAGGGAAACUUACGCUAAUACCGCAUACGACCUACGGGUGAAAGCAGUGGAUCUUCGGACCUUGCGCGAUUGAAUGAGCCGAUGUCGGAUUAGCUAGUUGGCGGGGUAAAGGCCCACCAAGGCGACGAUCCGUAGCUGACCUGAGAGGAUGAUCAGCCACACUGGAACUGAGACACGGUCCAGACUCCUACGGGAGGCAGCAGUGGGGAAUAUUGGACAAUGGGCGAAAGCCUGAUCCAGCAAUACCGCGUGGGUGAAGAAGGCCUUCGGGUUGUAAAGCCCUUUUGUUGGGAAAGAAAAGCAGCAGGUUAAUCCCCCGCUGUUCUGACGGUACCCAAAGAAUAAGCACCGGCUAACUUCGUG